rnacentral:rRNA from 1 species
UACGGGGGGGGCGAGCGUUGUUCGGAAUUACUGGGCGUAAAGGGUUUGUAGGUGGCCUGCUAAGUCAGACGUGAAAUCCCUCAGCUUAACUGGGGAACUGCGUCUGAUACUGGCGGGCUUGAGGACAGGAGAGGAACGCGGAAUUCCAGGUGUAGCGGUGAAAUGCGUAGAUAUCUGGAGGAAUACCGGUGGCGAAGGCGGCAUCCUGGACCGGCAUUGACGCUGAGGAGCGAAAGCUAGGGGAGCAAACGGG